CCUACGGGUGGCAGCAGUGGGGAAUAUUGGGCAAUGGAGGAAACUCUGACCCAGCAACGCCGCGUGAAUGAUGAAGGUCUUCGGAUUGUAAAGUUCUUUUCUAAGGGAAGAAGAAAGUGACGGUACCUUAUGAAUGAGCCUAGGCUAACUACGUGCCAGCAGCCGCGGUAAUCCGUAGGCGGCGAUCGUUCUCCGGAAUGACUGGGGGUAAGGGUUGCGUAGGUUGGUUGGCAAGUUAGUAGCGAAACUCCAAGGCUCAACCUUGGAACUACUACUAAAACUGUUGGCCUUGAGCGCAGGAGGGGCAACCGGAAUGCGUAGUGUAGCGGUGGAAUGCGUAGAGAUCAGGAGGAACACCAGUGGCGAAGGCAGGUUGCUAGACUGUAACUGACACUGAGGCACGAAAGCGUGGGGAGCAAACAGGAUUAGAUACCCCAGUAGUC
rnacentral:rRNA from 1 species